rnacentral:lncRNA from 1 species
CCCACUUUCUUACACACCCACCUAACACUCAUCCUCACCAUUGACCAAAAACAACAAUAAUACAACAUACACAAGAACACACACGGGGGCCAUACUCCACACACUCACAAUAAAAUAUAUCAAUACACAUGCACGCGUACACACACUGUGACAGAGAGGGGAAAUCGAAGGAGAAGGGUGAUUGGAAUCAAAAAAUAUAGACGUUGCCGGCAUGGUUUUCACCGGUAAAUCACCAAAAACCUGACCCCGUCCCUUUUCCGGCGAACACCCAACGGAAACCCAUCGGAAACCGCUGGGAAACCAUCGAAUCCAACCCCCAGUGCCAAUUCCGGCGACCAUCACCAAAAAGCAUCAAAACCAACUAGUGAGCCAUCAAAAUCGGCCCAACCAGUCCCGAUUCCGGCGAGAUUUGCCGAAAAACGAACAGAGCAGUGACGGGGACUUCGGAUUCAGGUAUGGGUAUCUCAUUUUUUCUCAAUUUCGAUUUGGGCCGUUGAAAAUAGAACAAAAAGGGUACAUUGAGAUUGGUUUUGUUCGUUGUUGAGGUUCAGUUCGAGACUUUGAACGCGGUUCUAUUCGGAAGGGAUAUCCCUUUGAAAUAAAAUUGAGGUCCAAUUUUUCUACUCUAUUUCUUCCUAUUUUUAUUUUAAUGUGAUGUUGAUGUUAUGAUUUGUGUGAUUCGUGUGGUUGAUGUGUUUGAUAAGGUGGUUAAACAAUUUCGUUUGUCGUGAUUUGUUGUUGACUUUGUAUGAAAUCUGAUUAAUCGUGUUGGUUGAAAGGAAUUUUGGGGGGCGGGAAUUGAAAGAUUGAUAAAGUGAUUUGAUUUAAUUUUGAUUCAUUGAUUAUGUUAAAUGCAUUAGAAUCAUGAUAAAUCGAAAUAAGUAGGUAAAACAGUAGGCCCGGGUAGGCGAAUUUAGAAUUGGUGGAUUGUUGGGAUGUUUGGAAUAUUGGUUGAAUGUUUUGUUUAUCGUAUUUGAAAAGUGUAUUCAUUUAGCCAAGGAAUGCCCCGAGGCUAUUUGUAUUUACUCAUCGGGGAAUGCCCCGAAGAAUUUUGUACGCGAAGGAUGUUCGUGAUCAAGGAUCGAGGCAUUAGGUAAGGCAUUGGAGCAUAGUUUUAGGAUUAUCUUAGAAUAGGAUUUAAAUUUUCGCAUUUUCUAUUUUUGGACCGUAUAAUUGAAUUGGACACUAUAUUUUGGAUUUGUUUUGUUUUUGUGUAUUUGAUUGAUUGUUUUAUGUGUUUUUGUGUGGUUUAUACAUUCGUAAUCUCAAAUUAGCCGAUACGCUCCACCAAGCGACCAUGGUCGAACUACGGGAUCGAGAGGUGCCUAAUACCUUCCCCUCGGUCAACAGAAUUCCUUAGCUGGAAUCUCUAUUCGCAAACCAGUUUUAAAGAGUCAAAUCGUUUCGAAAAGGAUUUUCCAAAGGUGACUUGGUGCACCGGAUUAUGCCAAGUGGCGACUCCGAAUUUAAUUGUGAAAUGAAUCUUUUUUUCGAAACAAAUCUUCAUUUUUGUCAUUUAAAUAAUAAAAACCCUUUCGAUCUUAAAAUUAAUCUUUUUGGUAAAAAAAAGGGUGUGACAGGCGUUACAAUCUAUUUUUUGCCUUAAGAAGAGUCCUUGGUGUGUACUUCAUCUACGACUUUGGUUUCCUAAUCCUUGUCACACUUAUGUGGUUAGACAAGUUGAACUAAUAGGGAGGACUCUUAGGAGCAUGCUAAGUGCCAUGAAAAAAAGUCACCCAAAUUCUUAGGUAUACCCUUUGGCUUGGAGUAUUUCGGUUUCUCAUGGAUUCUCUAAUUACUCUAAUAGUAUGAUUCCAUUGGUAAAUGUACUUCUUGAGGGAUGUUGCUUGGAGAGAAAAAAUGUAAUAUGCUUCAAAUGUCUCGUCUCGUCUUAUCGUGAACUCAUGUUUGAGGGUAAUUUUGAUGAGAAUGGUGUCCUUAACUUAUUUCUUUUCUAUCUUUUUGCUUAUGAUGAUGACUUGGAUGUGCAUAGAGUGUAUGGUCUUUCUAUUUCAGAUGGCAAGUCUAAUUGUUGUUCCAAGAAGAGUCUAUGGAUUCCACUUGAUAAACAACUCGUCUCUUGUUUCUUGUCACACUUAUGUGGAUAGACAAGUUGUUUCUUCUUUGGAAGGGUGUUCCGGUUUUGGUGAUUGGAAUGCCUAUGGUAUGAUUGAUUGUGCUAACUCUAACCCUCGUGUCAUGAAGAGAGUGUGUUUGCUUGUGUCUCCUACUAUUUUGCAAGGCUCAGAUUCGAGGUCGAAUCCUUUUUAAGAAAGGGAGGAUUUUACGAGUCCAAGGGGCAUCAUAGCUUUCAACGACAUCAUUAGAGGCCAACACAUAAAGACGACUCAAGCUUGGGGCUUACCUUUGAUGCCUAAACCGAGAGCACAAGUGUGAAGCAUGGACAAGAGCCAAUUACACUCCAAGGCCGCCCCACCGUAAGGGCCUUUUUGUCAUUUCCUUGGAGAAAAAAGGCGCCCAUGGAGUGUAAAGCCUCAUUAAGGGCGUUUUGGUCUUUGACUAUGUAAUAAGUUUAGGACAAGACUUUAAAUAGCUUUUCUUAGUUCAUUUUUCAGGAACUUUGAUAUUUUGAAAGACAUCUCUUUGAGAGUGAAAUACAAGUGUGGAAUUACUUGCACAAGUGUGGAUUCAAUUGUGGCAACGUGGAAUCAUUGUGUUGGUUACCCGUUUAGAAACGAGGGUUGCUUGGGGAUUCCGGUUCCCUUGAGGUUUUCGUAAGUGAUACAAGAAUAAUCACGGAUAUGGACCUAUGAGAGUGCAUGUGGAUCCGAGACUUGGUGUGUGCAAUUGAAGAGCCAAAGAGGACCUAAUGAUGCACCAAAACCGUCCAUACACUACACUUGAACUACACUUGAUAGGCGCCUCACACUUAAGGGCCUUUUGGUCAUUUUAGUUUCUAUUAUAUAAUACACUAUAUGAAGAAGGGAAAAGGCUCAAAUAUGUCACUGAACUAUCAGAAAUGGCUCAUUUAUACCAUCCGUUAAAAGUUGAGUUCAUUUAUGCCAUCGUCGUUACAAAACUGGCUCAUCCAUGCCAUUACUUUUUAACAGUCGGUUUUUAAAAACAGUCUUGCCAUGUGGCAGCUUAUUAGAGGGCCACGCCAUUUUUUAUUUUAUUUUUAUUUAAAAAAAAAAAAUUCUCUUUAAAUUUUUUUUUUAUCUAUUAAAAAGAAUCCACCCAAUUUUUUGAUCCAUUAAAAAUUAAUUUGAUCUAUGCUUUUAAAAUUUGAUUAAUUUUUCAUGAUCAAACAAAUAUUUAAAGAAUUUUUUUUUUUUUAAAUCUACUACUAAAAUUUAUAACCAAACGUUAUUCUAAUUAAGCAUAUAGUAUGUACUCAGCAUACAUGCAAUAUUUUGCCAGCCGAAUGUAAGUAACUUUUUAGUUUUUUAUUUUUUUAUUAAGCAUAGAAUGGCAUCAUCAGCAUCAGGAGCGGCUCAAGCAAAUUUAUGGCCUAAGGCAAAAAUCAAACGGAGGCCUUGCGUUUUAUUUUUUUAUAUAAAAUUUUUCUUUUUUCUAUAAAUAGUAUUUAAUAUAUUUCUUAAAAUUUAUAAUUAAUUAUUACUAAACAAAAAUAGGCCCCUCAAAUUUUUGAGUCUUAGGAGGCCGCCUUUUCUCCUAAAGGAUUGAGCCACCCCUAAUCAGCAUUCAACAUUUGUACGUAACACUUUAUGCAUCAUCAUUUAUCAUUGCAAAAACAGGAAAACGACGACAUACCGACAUAUAUAGUAUACGUAGAGUUAGCAAAAUGAGAAGCCAACUAUUAAUAGUAAUUUGAAGAAAAAAAUAAUUAAUAUUAAAGGUAAAAUAUGAAAACAAUCUUAAUAUGUCAAAAAUGACAAAAAAACAAAUCGAACGAGAAUGUUUUAAGAAUAUAUUCAUGAAAAAUUAUCAAAUUUUAAAAGCAUAGAUCAAACUAAUUUUCAAUGGAUCAAAAAGUUGCGUGAAUUCUUUUUAAUGGAUCAAAAAAAUAAUUUAAUUUAAAAAAAAAACUAAAAAAAAAAUUAAAAAAAUAAAAAAUGACGUGGCCCUCUAAUAAGCUGCCACGUGGCAAGGCUGUUUUUAAAAAACUAUCUAUUAAAAAGUAAUGGCAUGGAUGGGCCGAUUUUGUAACGGCGAUAGCAUGAAUGAGCCCAACUUUUAACGGAUGGCAUAAAUGAGUCAUUUCUGAUAGUUCAAUGGCAUAUUUGAGUCUUUUCCCUAUAAAGAAUAAUGUAGGAUUUCAUUACUUAGAUUUUAGAUGAUAUUUGUAAGUCUUGUAUGACUUCUGAUACACCAAGUCCUCUCUCCCUUGAGGCAAACCGAAACUAGGACAAGAAACUAGUGUGGAUUCACUAGUGAUUGUAUUUUGAUUAGAAACGUCGAUGCUUAGGAGGUGGAUUCCGAUCUUGUGUCUACGUAGGAGAUUGGUGAUAGUUUGUGAAGGUUGUAAGAGUCCUUAGAUUUAAUAUAUCUUAAGGUUCUUAGGGUCUAUACGCUUCUUUGUCAAUCUAUUUAUCCUUUAAUAUAUUGCAUUUUGUUUCUUGUUCUGUGUUGUGUUCUUGUGCCGUUUUUUGUGUCUUGUUGUUGUGAACUGUUUUGUGACGUCUUGCGGCUGUUUUGUGUCUUCUUUGGACCGUUUGGUAUUAUUUGGUAUCAAAGUCAUCAUUGAUUUUGUUCCAACAAAAUCAAUCUUGGGCUAGUGGGUUGAAAAGAAAAUUAAAAAAAAAAAGAGUAGUGCUCUUGAGGUUGUUCUUGGCCGAGACUUGAUGUUCUUGUUGUUGUCUUGCCCGAGAUUUGUCCUUUGAACAUAGAUCUAGAAGUUUCUUGUUUGUUUUGAGUGUUGUUGGUGUUAGUUUCUUCUUCACUAACACUAGUAGAAUCAAGAUCCAAUUUGGACUCUUUUUUGUGGUGUUGUUGUGCGAAUUCAAAGGUGGGCCGAAGUAUGGAUGGUGUUGUCAUUGUGGGUUCAAAUUUGAACAUUUUUGGUGUGUUGUUGUGAAAAUCUGAAGUUUAAAGGUGUGUUGUUGGUAUUGUUGUUGUGGAUUUGUGUUUGAAAGAGGUGUUGUUGUUGUUGGGAGGUUCAACUUGAACCUUGGUCUUCAAAUCUUGUUGAAGGUUCUUGGAGUUCUUGGCCAAUCUUCAUGUCUUGUGACAAGGAACCUUCAAUAAGUAGUGUUGAUCUUAAGACCAAGUGGGAGAGUGUAGUCUUCUUGUUUGCCUUGAAACAAGUUCCAAGACUAUACCAAAGUAGUAAGGGACAAAAAAGCUUUCAAAAAGACUAGUUACCAAAAGGGAGUAAAGGGACUUUUCAAGACUAACCAAAAGAGGAAAGAGCCAACCACCCCUUCAAAAGGUGUUUUGCACCAAAAGGUGCAAAGAAAGUCAACCUAUUUUGAAUGUGGAAAAGGCUCCAAAACUUGUGUCUUUCCCCUCCAAAACCGAAUUUUCUCUUCCACAAGGUGGAAAAACACUAAAUUUUUCAAAUUCCACAACCAUUCCAAGGCUGCCACAUCACUAUCCGCAACCAAUCAAAGGAUGCCACGUCACCCUUUUGUACAGCUAACUUGUUUUCUGUUUUGUAGGUAACUUCUUGGCCAUAAUGGAAGCCAUUUUAGCCCACCUUAAAGCUAUUUCUUGAGAAAUGGCUAAGGCGAAUGCGGGCCUCGAAAAAAAUUAGCUCGGAUAUGUCUACUAUACUUAAGAGGUUGGAACGAGUGGAGAGUCAAAGGAACUCUCGUGUUUCUACUCCCGAAUCUUUACCUGAAACGACCAAUCCUUCAAGACCACCACCAAGUGACAUAGACAUAAGCCAAGCCACUAAAUGCCCUCCAACCCGAGACCUAAAUAGGUCACUUCCCCCUCAAUUUGAUCAAGCCCAACAAGAAGGACUUGGAAGCCAAUUUCCUCCCAUCCAAGCUCCACAACCAAAGCUCCACAUUACUAAAACAAUCCUAUCAACCGAAACCCCACUUCCCCAAAACCGAUAUGUCCAUAUAGAGGAGUAUAGUGGAAAGGAACAUGAGGGAUAUGGAGCCUACAAUGAUGCUUAUAUGAUGGAAGGGAAGUUGAGGGGAAGACGUAGGGAACCACAAGGAACCCGCCACCAAGAAAAGUGGUGGGAUGCGUUUCGGAUGAGAUUGAAGACAAGGCUCAAUAUGGAGAGGAAUCAGAAGUUCAAAAUGAAGAUGUUGGCCGAGACUUGUGUUAUUAAGAUUUCAGGCUCCUCAUGUGUUUUUGCAGACUGUUUUGAGUAGGUUUCUUUUGAAGUGGCCAAUUGAACGAGGUUAAGCCGUGAAUUUGUGGACAAAUUCCUCUCAAGAUGGAGAGGAUGAUGCAAGAAUAAUCACGGAUAUGGACCUAUGAGAGUGCGUGUUGGGCCUGAGACUUGGUAUGUGCAAUUAAAGAGCCAAAGAGGACCUAAUGAUGCACCAAAACCGUCCAUACGCUACACUUGGACUACACUUGAUAGGCACGUCACACUUAAGGGCCUUUUAAGUCAUUUUAGUUUCUAUUAUGUAAUACACUAUAUAAAGAACAAUGUAGGGUUUCAUUACUUAGAUUUUAGAUGAUAUUUUUAAGUCUUGUAUGACUUUUGAAACACCAAGUCCUCUCUCCUUUGGGCAAACCAAAACUAGGACAAGACACUAGUAUGGAUUCCGAUCUUGUGUCCACGUAGGAGAUUAUAGUUUGUGUAGGUUGUACGGGUCCUUAGAUUUAAUAUAUCUUAGGGUUCUUAGGGUCUAUACACUCCUUUGUCAAUCUAUUCAUCCUUUAAUAUAGGGCUGUGCAAAAACUGAACCGACCGAUAAACUGAACCGAUAAAAAUAUUAUUGGGUUAUUGGUAUUGGAUUAUCGAAUUAACGGUUUUUUAUUGGUUUUAUAAAAAAAAUUAUUGGGUAAACGAUUUGGUAGCGGUUUUAGCUUAUUAGGUAAUAAGGAUACACUAAGUUAUUGUUUUAUCCCUAUUUAUGUUAUAUAUUUAAAUCUCUCUCUCUUUAUCUCUCUCUCUAUAUAUAUAUAUAUAUGUAUGCGUGUGUGUGUAUGUAUAUAGAUUAUAUGCACUACUAAUUCAUAAUUCAGUGAUUCACAAAGUAUUAACCUAUUCAGGGCAACAAAGGCACAAUAUAAAGUUCGGCUAUUAUCGUAAUAAAAAACUUGAAGCAUUUAUAGCUUCCAACAAUUAGGAUUCAAUUUUUUUCCUAACAUUCAAUUCAAGUUUGAAGAUUCUUGUAAACUAAAAUGCAUUGCGUAGGUUUUGGCGGUAAUUAAGAUUUCAUUUUUUUAUGUUAGUUGUUACUAUUUCUAUUUUAUAAGUAUUUUCUUAUUGGUUAAACCGAAAACCGAACCGUUAAGGACCAAAAACCGAUAAACCGAAACCGAUAAGAAAAUAUUUUAUUGGUUGGUUAUUCGUUUUACAUAUUUAAAAACCGAAAACCGAUGAACCGAACCAAUAACACGUAAAAUCGAACCGAACCGACCGAUGCACACCCCUACUUUAAUAUAUUGCAUUUCGUUUCUUGUUCUUGUGUUGUGUUCUUGGGCCGUUUUUAGUGUCUUGUUGUUGUGGAUUGUUUUGUGACGUCUUGUGGUUGUUUUGUGUCUUCUUUGGACCGUUUGGUAUCAGUAUGAGUGGUGUUGUUAUUGUGGGUCUUAGGGGUUCUAGCGUUUCAUACAUACUUCAGUUCCUAAAGCUUGUAAUAGCUUAUGUCUCACUAUCUAACCUUUUCUUUAUUGCAAAUCGUUGGUGUUGUUCUUGUUGUCUUGUAAUCGGCUUGUGUAUGCUUCCUUUGUGUUGUUGUUUUCAUCUUGUUUCUUGUGUUUGUUGGCUGGUUUGUAUCAUCCUGCCCCCCUCCCUCCCCCCUUGUGUAUGGUGAGGAAGGAAGAUACGAGGGAAGGUAAAAAAUGAUAAAUUAAUAACUAUGAACACUAUACCUUAAUUUGUAUUGAUCAACUAAAACAAUUGCAAGAAAAUUGCCAGACAAGAUCAGUAAAGAGAUCUCUUCGCUGCUAAUUGAUCUGCACUGGAAAAGGAGGAUGUUUAUGUAUAAUAUCAUAGAAUGAAAAACAUAGUGCUAUAAUGAGGUGCUAUAAUGAGCAAAUUAAGUUCCUGAAUCUGUAGAAUGACAGAAAAUUUAAACACUGCAAAAUUCUACAAAGUUAAGAGCCGACACUAAACAAGUUGCUUACAAACAAAAAGGUAGAGAAGUACUAUUCUAAUAGGGAGUUCACAAGCUGUGAUGAAUGCUAGUCACAAGAUAAACUAAUUAGUUAACACCAAUUCUAAAAAAGGUCACACCAUGUGACCAAAGCUUUCCGAGAAUUGCCACUGCAAUAAAGAAGAAUAGUCCGAUAUGCUCCCCACCAUCCUAUUGCCCCAAACUGGCCCCAACAACAAGGAUCGAUUAGUCAAUCAAUCUAUGUCUCAACCUUGAACAAGCAAGUUGGUAUCAGCUCUAUGAAUCCUAUGUUACUAUUCUGAGUUAUUGUAUGCCAAACAAUAAGCCUAAUGCAAGUGUAACCAUAACAUUUAAGCAUUGAUUUAAACUAGUUGGAUCACCUAUAUGGAAUUUUUUACUUCCAUGGCCACAUCAAUUCUGAGAAAUUAUACGUCAUCUGAGACACUGCUCUCCAUCUGAUCUUGGGUUCUACCUGUUCCCUUUCACCUCAUAUCAUCGAAGUGUAACACUUACAAACCGGUGCAAGUGGAGGUCUAUGUAGAGCAUGGCUAAACCAUCUCAUGUUACCUUUUCUCAUCUUACAAUCUCAAAAUAGCACCACUUGAAGGCCGCAUGAAUGGCUCCAGAUUUGGCAUCAUCACUUCAACUAGAAGGCCACAUCCUAUAGGAGUGAUUUGCAGGAAUGACCUCCAUAAAAGGUGGUCUAGAACUUUUGUCUGCGCUUGACAACAUUUUGAAUGAAAUGACCUCCGCUUAAGAAAAUCUGUUGGGCAAAACUUUUGUUGUCAUUGGGCAUAAACUAGUUUUUGUCUUGGACAACAAAAGCUUUGCCCAGUGGAUUUUUUUUAUGUUAAGGUUAUUUUCUAAAGAUUCUGUUAAAUUCAAGCCAACCAUUUAUUGUAUCCUACUUUACGUAAUUUAUACAUCUUACUGGGUGCUUUAACCCUAUACGUGCCAAAGAGUAUUCUUCUGCCAACACAUAUUAAUUCGUUACAAAGCAAAUGUAUAGGCUUGCUUCUGUAUGCAUAUCGUACCAAUGUAGGUGUAAAUAUACAAAAAACAUACCCCUACUCCCUAUGUCAGUAUCACGAUAGUGGGGCUAGAGAACAAGCUGAUAAGUUAGCAUUCAAUUAAAUGCAAUUGUCAGAUUUUGUGUCCCAGGAGUUAUGCCACAGAGUGCACAUGCAGGAUCCUAACCUAACCCAUCUUGACAAAGAAAGGUAAUAAGUACUAACCACUACCAAUGAUGUGAAACAAGAAAAUAGAAGCAAGAUAGAAAAUAAAAAAUAAAAAUUAAAGAAAGAUAGGCACAAUUAGAUUCAAACAAUUGAAAGAUGCAAUAGUGAAACUAACCAAAACACCACUCAAUUGGGAACUAAAAGCACAUAAUCUAUUAGAAUCCUCAAGAAGGUAGUAACCUUACUUGCAAAUUCUAGGAAAGUGUUGAAAAUCAACAAAGAGUUAUCAAGCUCUCAGAGGAGGCACAAAUAUCCAAUCUUCAAAACUAGUGGUUCACCCUAAUAGCUAACUAUUUAUAUUAAGGAGGAUUAAAAGAAGUAAGGAAAGACCAAAUUGCCCUUCAUUAAAACAAAAAAUCUUUUGAAAUUAGUAACUUUUUGCCCUUCAUUUAAAUUACGAGCUAAUUUAAAUGGUAGACACUUAAUAUAUUAAAUUAAAUAUCUUCAAGUCAUCCAUAUUGGAGCCUUCCAAAGAGUCCAUUUUCAUCCAUAAAGCUUGAAAUGCUUGAAGGUCCUUAACUGGAUUUCUUGGGAAAGGCCUUCUUGAAGUAGCGUCACUUUGAUGUACAUCACUCUCCUCUAAUUCGAUAGAAUUCGUCCUCUAAUUCACCAAUCCUACAUCAAUAGGAGAUAAAUCACUAACAUUUAAAAUAAGAUGAAUCAAAUACUCACUUGGUAAGUCCACUUUGUAAGCAUUAUCUCCAAUCUUCUCAAGCACUUGAAAAGGUCCAUCUCCUCUUGGUAUAAGCUUGGUUCUUCCUUUUGCUUAGAAAUCUCUCUUUUCUAAAGUGAACCCAUACCCAAUCACCAGGUACAAAGGUAACUUUCUUUUGUCCUUUGUUGGCUCUUUUUGUUGCAUCUUUGUUAGCUUUCACAAUUUGCAAUCUUACCUCUCACGGAUGUUCUUCAUAGCUUUUGCCUUAGCUUUUGCAUCUACACUCACAAUAACAUCUUUGGGCAACGAAGUUAAAUCCAAAGGAGUCAAGAGAUUACAGCCAUAAACACACUCAAAAGAGGUUAUACCAAGAGAUCUAUAAAUAAUUCCAUCAUAUGCAAACUCAAUUAAUGGCAAUUAAUCCUUCCAAAAAGUUAACUUUUCUUCUAUCAACCACCUCGGGUUGACCAGCCGUUUGACGAUGACAAGAAGUAGAAAAUAGCAAUUUGGUUCCCAAAUUUCCCCACAAACACCUCCAAAAAUGACUAAGAAAUUUUGAAUCUCUAUCACUAACAAUUAUUUGGGGAACACCAUGCAAUUUCAUCACAUUAUGAACAAAUAAAGUAGCAACAUGAGAUGCAUCAUCACUUUUAUAACAAGCAAUAAAGUGAGCCAUUUUUGAAAAUCUAUCCACAACAACAAAGAUGUUUUCUUUACCAUUCUUAGUCCUAGGGAGGCCAACAACAAAAUCCAUGGAAAUAUCUACCCAAGGACCGAUUGGAAUAGGCAACGGAGUAUACAAGCCAUGCGGUUGGGUACAAGAUUUAGCAUGCUUACAAUCCAAACACCUAGCACAAAUUCUUUCCACAUCGCUUAUCAUUUUAAGCCAAAAGAAAUAUUCAUUAAGAAUAGCUAAGGUUUUUGAAACUCCAAAAUGACCCAUUAAACCUACAUUGUGUGCCUCUUUCACCAAUAACUCUCUCCCUAAAGACAUAGGCACACAAAGUUUUCCAUUUCUAAACAAGUUGUGCUCCUUCAAUUCAAAUCUAGAAGUUCUAACUUCAUGUCUCUCCUUAACAACUUGCACACACCUAUUCAAGCUCACUUGACACUCUUCAAAGACUUUUCCAAAAUCAUCAUCAUUAGAAUAUAAUUCCUUCAAACUCUCAAAACCCAUCAACCUAGAAGUCAAAGUAUUCAUCAAUGCAUAUCUUCUGGAUAAAGCAUCCGCCACAAUAUUCUCUGUACCUUGCUUAUUAAUCACAUAUGGAAAAGACUCAAUGAAUUCUAUCCACUUGGCAUGCCUCUUAUUAAGCUUAUUUUGGACCCUAACAUGCUUCAAAACCUCAUGAUCGGUUCUAAUCACAAACUCCUUAGGCCCAAAUAAUGUUGCCAAUUUUGCUAAAGCUCUCACUAAGGCAUAGAGUUCUUUGUCAUAGGUAGAAUAAUGCAAUGGAGCUCCUCUUAAUUUCUCACUAAAGUAAGCUAUGGGUUUCCCUUCUUGCAUCAAGAUCGCACCAAUGCCUACUCCAUUAGCAUCACAACUCAAUUUCAAACAUCUUCUCAAAGUUGGGAAGUUGAAGUAAGGGAGUGGAACUAAGUUUCUCUUUCAAGAUUCUAAAGGCUUCCUCUUGUUUUCUACCCCAAAUGAAAGACUUAUCCUUCUUAAUGACCUCGGUUAGAGGAGCAACUAAAGAGCUGAAACCCUUCACAAAUUUCCUACAAAAAUUUGUCAACCCAUGAAAGCUUCUAACAUCACUAAUGGACUUAAGAGUUGGUCAACUUCUAAUAGCCUCUACCUUUUCAUCAUCUACCUCAACUCCUCUUGAACUUACAAUAAAGCCAAGAAAACCAACACGAUCCACACAAAAAGAACACUUUUAAAAAUUCACAUAGAGCUUUUCAUUUCUCAACACAUCAAAUAUCAUUCUCAAAUAUAGCACAUGAUCAUUCAAACACUUGCUAUAAACCAAAAUAUCAUCAAAAUAAACCAUAACAAAAUUAUUAAUAAAUGACUUAAGCACAUGGUUCAUUAAUCGCAUAAAAGUGUUUGGUGCAUUGGUUAGUCCAAAAGGCAUCACUCUCCACUCAUAUAAUCCAAACUUAAUUUUGAAAACGGGUUUUCCACUCAUCUCCGUAUUGCAUUCGAAUUUGAUGGUAUCUGUUUCUCAAAUCAAUUUUAGAGAAUAAGGUAAAAGCACACAAUUCACCUAGCAUAUCAUCAAGUCUAGGAAUGGGAUGUCGAUAUUUUACCAUAAUUUUAUUAAUGGCACGGCAAUCUACACAUAUCCUCCAUGUCACAUCCUUCUUGGGUACUAGAAUUACGAACACCGCACAUGGACUUAAACUCUCUCACCAAACCUUUAUUCACAAGUUCUUCCACUUGUUUUUGCAAUUCUUUGAUAUCUUGAGGAUUGCUCCUAUAAGCCGCUGGUUGGGUAUUUGAGAACCCAGCUAAAAGUCAAUUUCAUGCUCUAUUCCUCUCAAAAGAGGCAACCCACUUGGUAUUUCUUCCGGAAAUAGAUCUUCAUAAUCUUGCAACAAAGAAGAAACGACACUUGGCAAAGAUAAAGAGGUUGGUUCAUUAUUAGAAAGCAAAGAAUAACCUUUAGGUUUAAUAAAUAUGACUUGAGUAGCAUGCUCAAUGUUUAGCUCUUUCAUGCUCUCUUGAUUUUGCAAAAUCAUGCAAAUUUUCUCUCUUAUUUAAUUUUUUUUGUUUUUCUUGCUCACCUCUCUUUUUUUGUGAUAAUUCAUUCUCACUUGAGCUAUCAACCUCUCCUUUUUCCUCUCUUGAGGUAUUAUUUUUCACUCCCUUACUCCUCUCUUUCUUUUCUCCCUCAAGUUUUUCUUUCAACUCACUCUUUUUUCUAUAUUCCUCACUCACUUGAAAAGGAGAAAGUGGGUUAAGAAUGUGCUUUUUACCAUCCUUAACAAAUGCAUAUUUAUUUGACCAUCCAUUAUUUUUAGCCCCCACAUCAAUUCCCAUGGCCUUCCCAACAAUAAAUGACAAGCUUGCAUUGGUACAACAUCACAAAGCACUUCAUCAUGAUAACUUCCAACCUUGAAUUUUAUCAACACUCUCUUGGGCACCUUGAGUUCGCCAUAUUCAUUGAGUCAUUGCAAUAUAUAAGGUUUUGGAUGUCUUAUUAUUGGAAGUUUCAAUUGUUCUACCAUAGAUACACUAGCAACAUUGACACAACUUUCACUAUCAAUGAUGAAGAAACAUAAUUGCUCUUGAACUCUACGCCAAUUAUGAAACAAGUUUUCCCUUUGAUCAAGAUCUUCCCUUGUUAGAGCACUCAUACUUCUCCUCACAACAAGAACAAGUUUUCCAUCAUCAUUAAUUUCUUCUCCAUCACCUUCUCCCAUAAACUCAUAACUACUAUUAUCCUCCACGUGGUCAUUUUUAGAUUCUUCGAUUUGAUAACCACCAUCAUUCAAUGCAAUGACAGUUCUUUUAUUACGACACUCAUUUGUUUUAUGAGCAUAUCCUCGACAUCUAAAACACUUUAUUUUAAAUGAAGUUUAAAGUUUAGCUUUGUUACCUCCAUUAUUGUGGUCCACCUUUGAUUUUCCUUUGUCCAAGUUGGACUUCAAUUCUUGCUUUGCACCUUUGGAUUUGUCCCAAGUGGGAAAUGAUUUCCAAACUUCCUUAUUUUUAACCCAUUUAGAAGAAAAAGAUUGCACUUUUGACUUGUUUUCCUUUUGAUGACCUUCCACCUUUAGUGUCAUUUGAUAAGCUUCAUCUAAAGUAGACAGACGGUGCAAUUCCAAUGGUUGUCUUACCUCCUUAUUCAAGCCCGAGAUAAAUCUUGCCACAAGCUACACCUCUUCAUCAUUGACAUUAGCUCGAAGCCUAGUAUGCUCUAGCUCCUCAUAAUACUAUUCCACACUCUUACUUUCUUGUUGAAGACUGCCAUACUUCUUGAGUGCAUUUUGCUCAUAAUCUUGACCCACAUACCUUUCUCUCAUACGCUUUUUUAUGUCAUUCCAACUUGUAACAAAGUUUCUAUUCACCAAAGCAUUUUUUUCAAUUUUCUCCCACCAUGUAGACGCAAAACCCUCAAGGUGACGUAUAGCAUAAUUUAUUUUUUUAAAAUCACUCACAUGGUUGAGAUUAUAUUGCUUUUCAAGUUUCACAAUCCAAUCAAGAUAUUCAUUCGGGUCACUACUUUCUUUGAAUAAUGGAAGGGUAACCUUGAUGUUGUUGAAUCCUCGAUCUUCAUCAUCAUUCUUUCUAUUGUAUUCUCUACCAUCAACUAGGUACCACCCUUCAUUCCCCCUUCUUCUUCCUCUCCCACCUAACCUCUCUUGUUGAACUUGAUCAUUGACUCCAUAAUCAUGAUUAUCACCAUUAAAAGAAUCAUGCUCUUCAAGAUUAUGUUUGACUCUCAUUUGAGUUCUAUUGGCUUAUGGUAGAAGAUUUCUUUGUUGAUUCCUCCUCUUUUAGAAGUGUUGCUUGAUUGCAAACUUUUGGUAAAGUAGCAUUAGGAAAGAGGGUAUCUCGCACUACCAUGUCGGAUGGAGUUGUAUCAAGAAUAGUCUUACUUGAUCCCUCAUCAUGAUGACCAAUGGGAUUGAAAACCUCAAGUGGUUGCUUUGCUAUUUCUUGAUUUCUCACACUUCUAUCCACAUCUUCCAAUUUUACCUUCAUUUUCUUCAUUUCUUCCAAUAAUUUUUUAAGCAAAAUUUCCAUUUUGCUAGAGGAUUCUCCUUUCAAUUGAGUCAUUGUACCUACAAAAUAAAUAAAAGUUAGUAGAAAGAGUUCCUCACCACUCACUCACAUUAUGUUUCCAAUUUGCCAUCCUCAAAUGAACUCACCUCACUUGCUUGUUACCAUUCUUGAAUAGCCCAAGGUUGAGAGUCAACACCAUCAAAUAAUUCACAAGUAGUACUACUUCUUCGGGAUGGAGUGGAGUUUAUGUAAUCAAGAAUGGACAAUUAAAACUAACGGACAAGGAAACAAAUAAGCAUACAAUGAAAUGAAAGAAAAAAGCACGAAAAAAUUUGCAUGAAUAAAUUAAACGCACACAAACUAGUUUAACAGUAAGUAUGAAUUAGUACUCAAAGUAAACCAGCUAGAAUUAACAAGAAAAUAAGAGAAAACAAAACAAGUUCGAAAGAUUUGAACUAUUUUGUAAUUCUCAAAUUCAUCUUCUUCAAUACCCAAGCAAAUGAGCUCAAAUUUGAGAUAUAACUUCCCCACAACUCUAUUAACAACUUCUAACCAACAAUUUCUUCAACCAAACACAAAAUCAAGAAACCCUAUUUUCAAGUUUCUUCUUCAACAUGACUUUCAAUUUUUUUUUUGGAGCAAUGUAUUCUUUGAUUUCUUUUCAACUAGGAAACAACAUGUAACUCAAGGAAUAAUAUCAAACAAUAUUCAAUCAAAUUUGAUUUAAAAAAAAAAAAUUGGAAAAUAUCAAAACCCCAAGAUUUAGGUUUGUGAAAACAAAUCUAGUCCAAGCUCUUGAUACCAAUUUGAUGUGAAAUAAUACAAUAGAACAAGAUUGAAAUUAAAGAUAAAAAUUAAAGAAAGACACAAUUAAACUCAAACAAUUGAAAAAUGUAAUGGUGAAACCAACCAAAAUACCACUCAAUUGAAAACUAAAAGCACCUAAUCUAUUAGAAUCCUCAUGAAGGUAGUAACCUUACUUACAAAUCCUAGGAAAGUGUUGAAAAUCAAUAAAGAGUUAUCAAGCUCUCAUAGGAGGCACAAAUACCCAAUCUACAAAACUAGUGAUUCACCCUAAUAACUAACUAUUUAUAUUAAGGGUUAAAAGACGUAAAGAAAGACCAAAUUGCCCUUCAUUUAAAUUACAAGCUGAUUUAAAUGGUAACACUUAAUAUAUUAAAUAUCUUAAGUCAUCAAUAUUGUAGUCUUCCAAAGAGUCCAUCUUCAACCAUAAAGCUUGAAAUGUUUGAAGGUCCUUAUAGCUUGACUUCUUGUGAAAGGCUUUCUUGAAGUAGCGUCACUUUGAUAUACAUCAACCAAGCCUUCUCUGUCAUCAUUUUCCUAGUAAAUAUGAUUUCACUUAUAAAUAUAAAUUACAUAAUAAUUCUAAAAUGAUUAACUCCUUCUCCAAAGGAGAUUUAACAUUUUCAUUCUUACCCAAAGCAAGUCCAAUAACCAUCUCUCCCCCUCUCCACCCCCAAGCCAAUAUACUCGAUGUUUUAGCUAUUUUGCCAAUUUUAUCAGUUAAACUUCACUUCAUCACAUUCUCCUGCAAUCCUCCCUUCUCUUCUCUCAUGUUGAUGCUUUUAUAAAGCCCCUUUCACAAACUUCCCAUCCCACUCCUUCAAAAAAGCAUGUGAGAGCUGGUCAAAUUCAGAGUUCUCAACAUUCAACACAUGUAAACUAAUACAUUUGACAACCUAGAUUAAUAGCUGGCCAAAAUAGCAAUUAGCAGUCAGCAAAAGGUAUCAAUAUAACUAGGAAAUGGCAAGAGACUGCAAAACUUUCCUAUGGUUUCAGUAGUAAUAGUCACCGAAUGGUAUUUGAAAAAUAUUCCGUUGAACUAAGAAAUAUAUAAUCCUAUCGUUUCAUUAGGAAUAGUCACCAAACAGUAUUUGAAAAAUAUUUCGUUGAACUAAGAAAUAUAUAAUCCCCUUUAUCUGUCAUAAAUCCAACAGAGAAAAGAUCAGUAUACACCAGGUAAGAUGGUGACCUCAAUCAACAAAAUUGAAUUAUGCAGUUAACCUUUCUUAGGUUGGUAAAAAGGCCAAAGUUAGAAGAGUAAAGUCUGAGGUAAGCAUGUCGAGUGUGGUUUCAUUCCAAUAUCCACUAUAGUCAAAGAAGCUUAUUAAGGUGUUCAAGUCAAAAUCAAUGAGAAGGUGAUACAAGUCUUUUUCUCUAUAAUAGAUCUAGAAAAUUUUAAACCUGUAUCUCAUCGGAGUAAGUCCUGAAGCAUGAAAUCAAUUGGUUAGCUACCAUCAUGCACUUCCACUCCAACUUGCAUCUACCGUGUAACAGCUUUGCUUACUAAAGCAAAAACAGAUGGAGAAUGGUAUCCAUUUCACUCUAGACUAGGGAAAGCUGCAAAUUGAUCUGGACCGUGAAUAAGAAUAUCAAUCUCUCAUAUUCAUCUUUGUAGCUUUCAUUUGAACCACAAGACAUACUUCAUAUAGAAGACAGCAAUAAGUGAAACCAAGACCACAAAAGUGAACACAGUUAUUCAUUUGAAUAAUUAGGUUUUGAACAAAACAAAUCCCAGUAUCUAUUAUGACAGGGUGGUUGCUCAGUCUCUAAGACUUGAGAAAAUGACACUAGCUAUCCCUUCUAGCGAACUUAUAUUUUUUAAGGCCACAAUCCAUGUUUACCAACAAGGAUCAAAUCAUGUAGCACUUUACGCCCAGUAAUGUUCAUCUUUGGUUUAUAGCAACAACUGGUUUCAAAAAAAGAUGAUCGCGUUUUUCUCUCAUCUCUACUUAGUUUUAUCUUUGCAAGCCAACUCUGUUAAAAUGCUAACUAGUCUUGUAAGUAUUUUUUUUUUAAUCAGUAAAGUGUAAUAUCAUUGAUUCCACCAUUAAGAACUAGUUCCUUAUGUGUUACAAACAGGAAGCCCAAAUCUGAAAUCUCCUAGUUCAUAACUCUUGUAGUAAAUCCAAUUAUAUCUUAGCAACCCUGCAAAAUACCGACUAGGUAAUAAAUUGCUACCUCUAUACUUAUACCAGCAUCACGUGCUUUUUGAAAUAGCAUAUCCACUCGGACUAGAUCAUUGGGCAGUUGUUCCUACAAAAACUCAAGAUUAUGAGCUUUCAGAGGCAGAAAAAAGGGAACCAAUUUCGUGGAGCAAGCCUCCACCAUGAGCGGGUGUCAUAUCUUUCCUGACAUCAGCCAAAGUAGCUUCAUAUAUAUCAUGUUCUUAGUUACUAUAACUCCUGCUUUUGUACCAAAUCAACACAGCUUAUAACACUAUAUAUGCAAAAAGCAAAAAGUAAAGUAAAGAGAAGGAAAAAAAAAAGAACAUUGUUUUACAUAGUAAACAGGACAUGAAAGACCUGAUUUACCUGAUAUACAAAAGAGCACUUACAGAAGGAUGAGAUUGAAGUGCAAUUUUUAUGACACAAAUUUAGAAGAUUAACAUAUGAAUUCAACAUGAAAUCAUGGGAAAGAGCAAGCUCUACUAGAUUAAGGUAGUUCUUUUAUCACAUGGAUCUUAAUUCUACACUUGUAAGAGAGUAAACAUCAACAUAUUGUCUAUUAGUUGCAUUAUUCCAUACAUUGGCAUUUUAAAAAAGUGCUAGCAAUUGAGGACAUUAAAAGCACAUAAAACACAAUUUGACAUUUUUGACAAACAGAGAACUAACAAUGUAGAGGAUACAAGAAAAUAUCUGGAUCUUAAUUAGAAAACAAUCUGGUGUUAAAUUGCUGAUGUGUCUAGGGAGGAUCAACCUAAUUUACAUUUUACUAGGUCACUGGCAUAAUUUCAAACUCAAUUUAGAUGUGAGAGAGCAGUGUACAGCAUGAAAAAUCUCUUAUCCACAAAUCUUUAUGAGAAAGAACAAUACCUUGUAAAAUGUCUCCACAGAAAAGCUUGGAUUUGCACCUAACGUUACUGUGAAGUAGAAAAAAUUGACAGAAAAUUUCUGCAAUAAAUAUGCCAGAUCAACUGUCCAAAUACUGCAACAAAUAAAAGCAACAGUGAUUAUCUAUGAAAAGCAUUUCAUAUUGGUCAUAAUCAGAGAAUAAGAUGAAUUAUACCAGAGCCUUGAUUUUCAAUAAAUUUCGUAGUCAACUAGUAUGCUUGAAUAUAACAAAGUUUGCAGCAGGGAAAACAGGUGAGCAGAAACCAUCCACUUACAGUAUAAAACUAAAACUGAUAGUAUCCUACGCUUUUUGAGGCUACGAUAUUAUAUCUCACUUUUGAAUGCAUAAAAUACCACUAAAUAGUUCCUAUUUAAGAAACAUCAGGGAUAUUUUUCUAAGAAUUGUCUGUCAGUUCAAUCUCUGGAGCGAGAAACUUUCACCUGCUGCAAUUUGGGGCAGAAAGAAAUGCAUGUUAUUUGAAGUCGGAAAGAGUACAGUCAUUAAUGUGAAACACAAAUAUAUUUUUUUGCUUAGUUUUUGGUGCAACGUGGCAAAUGUACAUGCUUUAGGCAAAUCCUGUAUGACAAGUAAAUGUGGGAGAUAACAAGACACAAUAUACAGGGGUAGAAAAAUUUUCUUUCCGUAGAAUGAUGUUUAAACCAGCAGAGGCUUCAAUUCUUAAGCUCAUAGAGACAGGAGAAUUAUGGCUUUUUUUCUCCUCCGAAAAUAUCAGAAAAUGUACUAUGCUCAUUUGAUAGAAGUAUCACCAAUAAAAUCAGCACAUUCUGCAUACAUCUAGUUCACUUAUUUCUAAUUUAUUAUCACUCUCUAAAGUUGGCACCUAAACAAAAGUGUGAAAGCAUUGGCUGAUUAUUAGGAGUAUUUAAUACUGCCGAGAUCCAAAACUUGUAGAGGAACAUCCAAGAAAAAACGCUACAUAGCAUAUUCCUGUAUCACUUGAGACAAGACAUUGAAAAUAAAACAAAAUCCUAUCAGGCACAUCCUUUUCUCAUUUUUAUACAGUAGCGCCUAAAAUGGAAAUCUUACGCAUGUUAUAAUUGAAUACUUCAACUUCGACCAACACUUACUGAAAAUGUAGGAAUUCUCAAAGCAACAAAAGGACAAAAAAUAUAAAGUAAAACCAGACAAACAACGACAUGAAUGAAUAUAGAUAGUACAGGCUAUAUCCCACACCAUAAUCGAAAAAAAAGGUAGGCAGAUAAAGGAGUAUCAUCAAAUAUUCGUAGCACUUUGAAGUAGUACCUCAUAGUACAGCAUAGCUCUUCUAGUUCUUGCAUGUUACAACCCUUGAUUCCAAGAGUCCUCAAAACCAUCAGAACACAAGCAAGACCACAGUCCCACGAAUGUAGUUGGUUUAUAUGUGGAACCUACCAUAAAAAACACAGCGUAUUUUUAAGAACUAUAGAAACUAAAAUUCAGGAUAUAUCAAGAAGAUUCACUGUAUAUUAUACAAGACACCAAUAUUCGUAACAUGUACUUGUAUCGGCCGAGAUUCAAACGUUGAGAUCAUCAUAAAACUCCCAUGAAGUAAAACGAACAAAUGAUACAACAACAUCCCAGUGUAAUCCCAUAUGUAGGGUCUGGGGAGGAUAGAAUGAACGCAGAACUUACCUCUACCUCAUCGAGAAACAAAUGAUAAAGUAGUGAAAAGAAAAUUGGCUCACAUCGACAAAGUAUGAGCCGGACACUGUGCCAUGGAAUUUGUCUCGACCCAGUGAUUGUUUCAAGAGCAAGGAUUCUACCAAACUUAAAUGUUCCCUUCCUGAUUCUUCAGUGUUAUCUUCUUCUGUUCUCAAAAACUUGCUCAAUAGAACAUAUAAUGGCCACAUCUGAGAUAGUUUGUGAAGUCGCUAAACAAUUAGGUAAAUCUCAAGCUAAACAAUUAGGUAAAUCUCAAGCUAAAAGAAUUUCUAAUUUAUGAAUUGUGUCUUGAUCUUCAGGGAAAACUAACAAGAAAAAAAACAAAACAGCCGAAACGCCGUGAACCAGAAAUUGCCAAAAAGAAUUGAUAAAGCCAAAAGUUCAUUAAUAAACACCAAGUCCGUGUCGAAAAAUAUGUACAAGAUGCUCAUGUGACUCCAAUUGACCAAUCCAUCUACUAUCCAAAAACCAAUCAAUAGAGUACUUGUUUACAAUUUAGCUGUCGAGGUUAAAAUUGACCUUAAUAUAUCGACAUCUCUUUUAUAAAUGGCAACCACACAUUUAAUAAUUACAAGACCAUAUAUUUGUAGAUUAUGGACAACAGAAUUCAAGGAAGAUGCGUUUUCCAUGUCAUGAACUAUACAACACAACAGAAUUUCAAAAUUCACAAAUUGUUUGCCAGCCCAAUUGUAUUUGUUUUUUUUUUAUAAAUAAUUAAUGAAAAGGAGAAGAAAAAACAACGUACCUUUUGAUGAAGCGUCGACGCAGAAAGAGAUUUUGGAAGAAAUAUAAAGGGAAGACGCUCUCUCUCUCUCUCGUUAUGGGGUGGUCAGAUGGAUAUUUCGCUCCUUUCCUCUGAUUUUCUCCUGGUGUUACGUACGAAGGAGAACAAAUGUUUUUUUUUAAUUUUCUGGCUUAAAAAUUUUGAAAAAUAUUUUUUAAAUUAAUUUAUUUUUAUCAAAUGUAAGAAAAAUGACUUACAUUAAAAAGUAAUAAAGAUAUUUUUUAAAAUUCUUUUUUAAACUCAUUUUUUAAAUUAAAAUAUUCAUACAACUCUCAAAAUUAUCCACUCUUACUCCGACCCUUAAUUUCCAUCACUAUCCCACCCCUACCCCACACCAACCCGUACCACUUCUAUUAAAAAAAUAUUUUAAAUUUAUUUUUUAUCUUACCGUGUUCAACACCCUACUCCCUUCUCCUUUACAAUUUUAUUUUUGAAAAAAAAAAAUUCAAACAUUUUUCCUUAUCUCCCCUACGCGACCACCCUACCAACUUCCUCCCCUCUCCCACCCCCAAAAAAAAAAAGAAAAAAAAAAUUUAAAAUUUAUUUUUUGAAAAAUUUUAAUUUUUUCCUUACCCCACACUCACUCUCCUACCCCAACCCCCAAUCUUACUACCUAUUUUGACACCCCACCCCCACCUACCAACCCCCUCUUCAAAAAAAAAAAAUAAUUUUAAUUUAUUUUUAAAAAAAAAUUCUAAACUUUUUCUUAUGCCACCCUUUUUAUCAUAUUCGUUCUCAUUAUUUUUGUUAAAUAUAUACAGAUACUUUUAAAAAACAUAUACUUAUCCAAUUUGCAUAACAAACACACGAAUAUAAGUAAGAAACAACUUAUUUUUCUAGAAAAUAUUUUUCUUCCUUCAUAUCGAACACACCCUAAAAAAAAUUUUUUUGAAAUAAAAAAUUAUUUUUUUAAAAUGUAUUUUUACACUUUAGCUAAAUACUAAAAUGUAUUUUUUGGAAAAUAUUUUUUCAUUCACCAAUCAAACACUACAAAAUAUUUUCCAGAAAUUUUUUUUUCAUUCACCAACCAAACAUAAAAAAACAAGUAAGAAAUCAACUUGUUUUCCAAGAAAACAUUUUAUAGGAAAACAUUUUUCAUGAAAAACAUUCUCCUUCAUACCAAACACACCCAUUUUCUCACGUACUCAUACUUUAUUUUACCAAAAAUGCAUAAUUGCCCUUAGGGUGCCAAAAUUAGCCCAAACCCAUUUAGUCGUCCAGUCCGCUCAUAUUUUAAUGAGUUGGGCUAGAGUGAUUUUGAAGAUGGGUUGAUUCGGGCUAGCUCAAGUAAACCCAACAUAAAUCAUCAAUCUAAAUGAGCUCAUAAUGAUGUCCAACUUUAACCCAUAAAGAUAUUUAGUCCCAGUAUUCAUAAUUUCACUUUCAAUAUUUUUAAUUGCUUCAAUUAUAUUCUUUUUUCGUAUUGAAAAAAUUGUAGUAAUAAACCAACUUUUGAAUGAAGAAAAAUAAUUUUUUUUCUUACAUCAUCCCACUACCUCCCCAAACCCCACUAGGUGGGAAUACACUGAGUUUGUUGUUGUUGUACACCAUCCCACUACCCCUACACCUCACCCCUCACCCCUAGCUUGACCAACCCCAGCCCCCUCCCUCCCCAAUUUUUUUUUAAUUUAUAUUUUUAAGAAAAUGAUUUCUUCUCACACCAUCGCACUACCCCGACCCCAUCUCCCUACUCCGACCCCUACUAGCCCCCUCCCCCAAAAAUUAAAAAACUUAUUUAAAAAAAAAAAUUAAAAUCAAAGUUGUUUUUUACCCCAACCAACCCCUACCCCUGACCCUCCUAAAAAAGAUCUUAAUAAAAAAUAAAUUCUUACACAAUCUCCUUACCCCCAGCUCCCUCAACACGACCCCUACCCCCACCCCUAAAGAAAAUUAAUUUUUUCUUAAAAUUUAAUCCCCCUCCCACUUCCCUACUGAGACCCACCCACGUCCCUUCCCUCUCCCUACCGAAACCCACNNNNNNNNNNNNNNNNUUUAUAAAUAAUCAUAUUUGUUUUCUUUUUCCAUCUAUUUUAUCUUACUCGUUAUCAUUGUUUUGUGUUAAAUAUCUAUAAAAAUAUUUUUAUUAAUUGUUUUUAGUUUUCAUAUGUUAUUUUUACAUGAAAACAAUAAUAUAAUAAUAUAAAUAUAAAAAUAAAAAGAAAAUUAAAAAUAUCAUUCCAACUUAAAUUACUACUAAAAUGGUAACUUGUUAAAUGAUUGGUUAAGUUGGGUAGAUUGAGCUAUAACCCAUUAUUUAGCCCAUCUUGGCCCAACCCAUCUUAGCCCAUCUAUAUUUUGGGCGGGUUGGGCAAUAACCUAUUUAUUGCUUUAGCCCAUUUUGACCCGUCAAAAUUCGGCCCAACUCACAUUUGCCAUCCCUAAGUACCCUUUUUUAGCUUCUCGUAUAACACUUUUUUUUUCAUAAAGACAUUACAACUUUAGAACAUGUAUUACCCUUCCAAUUAGCCCGUGAGAAAAGAAAUAAAUAAUUUUUUAAUUUCGUUUCAGUAUUUAUGCAUUAAACAUAUCUUCUAUUUUAUUUUUUAUUUUUUAUUUUUUUCUUUGUUCCUUUAUCAUCUACAAGAAGAAAAACUCAGUUACCUCAUUAGAACUUGUCACUUUCCCCUUUAGUUCUUGCUUCUCAAUUUUCUUAAACCUCUUCGAUUCAUCAUUACUCUCUGCCUUUUUUUUUUAGCUUUCUUAUGGAGUUUGACAAUCUUAAAUCUCUUCGAUUCAUCACUAUUUUAUUGUCUCUUUUUUUUUUUUACUUUUCUUAUGGAGUUUAGUAAUGGGGCUAAGUCAUUAGUGAGGGAAUAACGAUUGAAUCGUUAUUUUUUAUUUUUCCAUUAUAGUUUGGUGAUGGUUUUAAUUUUCUGAUUUUAAUAUGAUGAUGAUUUGGUGGUAGCUUAUAGAUAAAUAUGGUGGAUAUGACGAUAGUUUAGAGAUUAUACGAUGGAUAUGAUGGUGUGAAAGUUUCGGUGAUAAUAGCUAUUGGAUGAUGGUCAACGGUGAGUAUCAAAUUGGUGUUGUAGGUAUAGUGAAAUUGAAAAUUGAAAGGGAAAGGGAAAAAAACAAAGCAACAAGGAAAAGUAAAAAAAAAAAUACUAAUGAAAAUAAUGAAUAAAAAAAUAAAUUUUAAAAGAAAAUUAAAAAUUAAAUACAUUUAAAUACGUGGAAAGUUAGGAUUGGUGUGUGAUUUAGACACUUUUUUAAUAGUUGGAGUUGAUUGAAAAAGGUUAUUUAUUAUGGUUAUAAUUAGUUUUAUGGAAGCAAUAGGGCCCGCAAACUUUAAGUGUAUACUUACAAUUUUGAUCAAACUUUAGGGGGUACUUUAUGCAUUUUCCCUUUAUUUUAGUAUAGAAGUGGUUCUAAUAACAUGUCGUUGUCCCCUAUCACUGGAAUGACCGGGAUUCGAUCCCGGCAACAACGAAAUUUUUGUUUUAGGGGUCUUAUGCUUGCUUGGAUAGUCAACUAGGCCCUAUACUCUACGAAGUUUCAAAUGUCCCUUUGACCAUUGACCAAACUUAUGUUGCAUAUAUCUUUCUCAAUCCGAUGAGUGUGUGACAACGCACUCUUAAAAUCGAGUAUGUAUAUUAAAUUUAAUUAAAAUAUAUUGAAAUCUAACAAUAACAAAAUAAUAAAAAAAUACUUUAAUAUCUUUAAAAAAGACUCUCCUCCCCCACCUACUUCCUCCACACAUCUCAAACUCCUUCCCCUUUCCCAAUCAUAUUCUUUCCCUUUUUAUCCUCUAUUUUCUUUUCAAAAUUAAGUAGUUAUGAUCAUAAAUGACUAAUCUGAGAGGCACUAAUAGAGUUAUUGAUGUAAUUACACUAAUAAAGAUUUUCACUUUUUUCAAUUGCGUUCGAGCCCAUUACAGCAGUUUUUUCGUCAGUGAUUGAUACCUUUCAACUGUCAAAGUUUUAUUUUCUUUUAUUUUUCUGAGGAUCUUGCAAAAAUAGAGUUCUAACAUUUUCUUUGAGAAGCUUAUUAAGGAUAUAAAAAUGACAUAGUUUGGUAGAGAACAUACAACAUGAAGGGUUUCAAUGGUGUAAGGCCCCGUAAAAUUUUGAUCAUUUUAUUUUUGCCCUUCCAACGUGCGUAAUAUCGAUUUUUGACUUGAAUUGUGUUUAGGGAAGUUAAAAGGGUGUUUGGGAAAAUUUUUGGAUUUUUUAGAAAGGGUUCGGGGUCAUUUUGGGACCCUGAGGCUAUGGGGAGUCCGUGAUAAGGCCGUGUCACAGAGGUUAACCUCCACAAUAUCGGUGUGGAAUGGAGGAUAACCUCCGCGAUAACGCCGUACCAUGCCAGUGUGCUAAUUUUGUCUUCUUCACUUAAGGUGAGAGGUUUUCGAUCUUUUUACCCCUUGUAUGAAUUUUAAACAUAAAAUAAGCCCUUUUCUUCAGUUUUUAAAGAUCAAAAUCAUCCAUUCUCUCUUAAAACUCAAAAACCAAGAACAUUCACGGGUUUCACAGUGCAUUCACCAUCCAAGCUCCAAAUAUCAAAUUGACUUCAAUUUCUUGUGUGUUUCAGGCAUGUUUAUCUUCCCUAAACUUUAAUUUUACAUUGUGGAAUGAAUUGAAUAGAUUUUCAUGUGAUUUAAAUUGUGGGUUUUGAAAUUGGGUUGAGAGGCUUUGGUUGUUAUUGGUUGCAUUACGUGUCUCAUGCUUUGAAUUGAUUAUUCAUGUUUUAAAUUGAUGUUUUUGGGAUUAAAUUGGUAUAUUAUUUAAAUGGUUGGAAUGGGGGACAUGGAUUUUCCCAAAUUGGAUGAAUUUUUAGCUUGGAAUUGCAUGAACCUCAAUUCACUUUGUGAAUUUGAUUUUAAUUAUGGAAAAUUGCAUAAUUUAACUUGUUUUUGAACUUAAUGCAUUGCAUUAAUGGGUAAAUAGAUAUAAAAAUAAAUUUGGAUGCCCCUACUUGCCAUGGUUUGGAUUUUAAUGGAACUUAGGAGUUAAUGUGAUUGUGUGAAUUGAUUUGGCAUGUUUAAUUUAGCUUGUAAGCGUAUUGGUAUGACGAUACUAAGUGGUAAUACCUGUAUGAGUGACUCUUGGGUUAAUGAUAGGAAUUAUGUGCAAAGUGAUUUUAAUUUGGGUUUAAAGAGGGUUGUGUAGCUCACUGUGAAGGUGGAGGUUCUGGGGAGAUGUCAUGAGCUGAACCAGGUCCUGGCCAUGACGGGUAUCCCAAAGUUCCACGUGGAUUGGAGAUCACCCCCUUCACCUAACCUAGUCAGCUCAACGACCUCAAGUGUCGGAUGAAUUUCGAACAUAUAAUAAGAUAUGGUAAGCUAAAACUAAUAUUUAUUCAUGAAAUGUCUAAACCAAUCAUCGGUAAUCAGACACCCGUUUAUCUCCGACCCAAUCCACCAAAACAACAUACCAAAAUCCACAAUAAUCCAACAAAGCCUCUAUAAAUUUGAAGUGAAUAAAAUGUCGGGACAUGCCUCCGAAAGUAGCCAAAAACAAAGUUUGAAACAUAAAAUAUAAAGACCAUGAAAUGAAGCCUUUUGAAGUAUAGAAGCUCACUGUUUCAAUGUCAAAUCACGAACCACUCGAACACCUCAUCACUGUGCAGGAAAAGUAGAAGAAGUUUCAGUUCCUACAUUGCAUGGGGAUAUAGCAUCCAGAGACGAUUAGUGGUUGGAGAGCUAGCAUAUAACUCAGGGCUAGAGGAAUAAAAUAAUGUCAUCAUUCAAAACCAAGUCAAACCAUCAUAUACAACCACAUAAAUACUUAUAUAUAUAUAUAUAUUAUGUCAGGAUAGGGGACAAGGCUUAUCAUGAAUAUUGAAAACCUUAACCUGGGCUAUGUAGCAUAACCGUCAUAUAACAAGGCACCCACGGGCUAUAUGAGCCCAACUCUCCCCUAGAUGGAAGAGCCUCAAUGCAUGUAGCCUCACGAAUCAGAGAAUAUCCAUAACCGUAAAUGCCUUAUAGGGGACUCAAACCUCCCGGCAUAAUCAAGGUGACCCAAGCACCAAUGCAUGCGACAUGGGGGACUCGAACCUCCCAUUCAAAUAUUCAUUCAGAGGACUCGAACCUCUCGGUCAUAUAGAUACCCACAUCGGCUAGCGUGGUUUCCAGUGUUAGUCCUUUGGACUCCACUUUCAUGGAAGGACUACACAUCUCGCUUUAAAGCCUAAAUGAAAGUAUUCAUUCCACAUACACAACCAUUAUUCCAAUUACUUAGCAAAGACAUCCCGUUGAUAUUAUCAUACCAAUCCCACUUGCAAGUAUACAAUAUGCCACAACCAUUAUCAAUCAACUUUGGGACUCGAACCCAUUGUCUAAAUAAAGACAUCAAUUCAAUUUAACAUUUAGGGACUCAAAACCCAUUUAGCAAUUCAAAUCAAUUUAUGGCCAACAAGGCUUUUAUGAAACCAUUUACCAAUCAUCAACAUUUGUAGGCCAAUGCCUUAGUUCAAAACAUAAUUCAACAUGUGACAAGAUCAUUCUCAUUGAUAUUUUCACAAAUAGAUUGAGGUCAUACCAUUAUCAAACUAUUAUUCAGCCAAAACCCAUCAAGUUAGGGUUAGCCAUGACCCCUUAGUUUAAAUCAUAAUUCCCAAGCACCCGCAUGUGCAAAACUAUUAUCAAAACAUGUAUAAUCAUAAUUUAAACCAUGAGAAAAUAAUACUCAAUAUCGUACAUUCAAACCCUAAAUAAUGGUUUUCAAAACCACCAUCAAUGAUCCAUGAACAAUAUUUAAAACACAUGAUUUUUGUAACUUACAAUGAAGGAAGAGUCACAUGCCUGAGUUACAAAGAUUCACGGAGAGAAUUUGAUCUUUAAGCCUCUAGAUGACCAGCUUGAAGAAACUCUAGCUCCAUCUUCUUGAGGGUUUUUUUAGAGAGUUUAGAGAGUGUUAAUCUUUUAAAGUGUAGAAUAAAUGCCCAAUAAGUAUUAUAAGACAUGGGGGCUUAAGGGCUUGGAGUGGGAAAUGUCAAAAUACCCUCGGUUUAAAAGUUGUAGAAAACUCGCAGGUGGGUACUAGUUAACCCUCCAACUCGUCACCACAAAAUACGAGUGGUACUUUCAAGUCGUUACAAGAACAAAAAGUUGGACACCAUAUUUUGUCCAACAUACGACUCCCUUGCCCAAAUCGUCACCAUACCAUAUGACUAGUACCAUCAAGUGUAUCCAAGGCAAAAUCAUCAAGGGCUAAACACUGGACAACAUACGAUUGGACCCUACCUUUUUAUCCCAAGACCAUAUGACUCGUAUGGUGCCUCUCAUAUCUAGGAUAAAACUUAGCCAACAGCACACUGACCAACAUACGACUAGGGUCCCUAGACCUAUCACCACACCAUACAACUUAUAGUGUGAGUCAUAUAAUAAACAAAAGGUUCAAGACUUAAGAAAUUUGCAAGGGCCAAAGUUCGAGGUGUUUCAAUCUCCCCCACUUAGGAACAAUCAUGCUCGAAUGAUGGGACGAAGCAAUACAAGCAUGAUUUGGACUCUACACGCCUUAACUCUUACCUUUAACCAAGUUAGAAAAAAAAGAUACCAAGGAAAUCAAUAUUUUUCUUAAUAAAGUCAGAAAACAAAGAUGUUAAGAUUAAUACAUACCUCAAGCACUAAUCUCCAAAAUCGGGAAUAGGAAUGAAUACUUGGACUUCAUGUCCUCAUCGGCUUCCCAAGUAGCUUCUUUGAACUUUUGGUUCUGCCACAGAACCUUUACCGAAGCCAUGUCUUUCGUCCACAACCGACAAACCUACCGAUCCAAGAUCCUCACUGGAACCUCCUCAUAGGACAAAGAAUUUGAAAUACUAAUGUUCUCCAAGGGAACAACCAAUGAAUGAUCACCCAUGCAUUUCCACAACAUGGACACGUGGAAUACCAAAUGAAUGAAACUCAUGCUAGAGGGCAAAUCCAA